GACGGAGGAUGCAAGCGUUAUCCGGAAUGAUUGGGCGUAAAGCGUCUGCAGGUGGCAGUUCAAGUCUGCUGUCAAAGACCGGGGCUUAACUUCGGAAAGGCAGUGGAAACUGAACAGCUAGAGUAUGGUAGGGGGAGAGGGAAUUCCUGGUGUAGCGGUGAAAUGCGUAGAGAUCAGGAAGAACAUCGGUGGCGAAGGCGCUCUGCUGGGCCAUAACUGACACUCAGGGACGAAAGCUUGGGGAGCGAAAGGG
rnacentral:rRNA from 1 species